UAUUUGAUGCUGAAAAGAUUUUGGGUGAGUGAGCAGUUAAUUUCAUUCUUGACCUUGAAAACUGCAGUUUCACCAAAGAAAAAAAAAAACAAGAAUUAUCAAAAAAUCCAUUGACUCGCUUUUUCUGGAGUUCGUGGAGUUUGCUCAGGUGUCACACUGAAAAUGACCACCUGUUGUCACAUGACUGACGUAUUUAGUAAACAUAAUGACUGAGCUACCUCCAUAACAACUGAGCAAACUCCACUCAAUGAGGAAGAUGUGAAACCUCUGGAAAAAGCUAGUAAGUAAAAUGACAAAUUCUGGUAAUCCUAGCACAUAACUCCCCAUAUACCCACAACUUUUUUACAUUUGAGUACAGCUUCAAUGAAUAAGAUACAUGUCAAUUUGUACACUAGGGAUGUUGGAAGGUAUAUGUUUGAGCUUUGGACAGCGCCAGGCUAGCAGUUUCCUCCUGCCUCCAGUGUUUAUGCUAGGCUGAGCUAAUCGCCUCCAGCUCAAUACUUAGUGCACCAACAUGAGAGUGGUAUCAGUCUUAAGAGUUUAAGUUUAUUUCCCAAAAUGUUAAACUAUUUCAUUAACUUUGUCAAGAAAGCACAUAUUGGUUUACUUUGUAGCAUGUACUGUAGUGUAGCUUUGGGAGAGGUUUUCGAGGUAACUGAAGUAACCAAUGAGAAUAAUGUUUUAUGGUGGAUUUUCCUUUUAAUGUUAAAUUGAUAAAAGCAUCGUGUAUAUGAGUCAUUCCCUAAAUGGACUUUCAUGUGUGGAAACCCAAAUAAUUUUGGAAUUGUGACUUUUUUUCCAGUCAUACCACAGCAAUGGAUAAUGCCAAGUGUUUAGUUUAUAUUCCCUUAACUUUGUAAUAUGCUUUUCUUUUUGACCAGUGUACAGUUCUCAUAACAUUAAGACAGCAAGAUGCUGGUGAAGAGACUUAUCUCCCAAAGGCAGGUUCCUGUUGAUCUGAUGGAAAGAAUCACAUGCAAGUUUGAUGCAUAUUGAAGAUGUUGCAGACCUUGGGGCUACUGAGCCUACAAAGGUCCAACCUUCACAUCAGCUCUUUUGUGUCACCCCAGAGACAAUUGGGGGGCAAUGAAAUUCUUUGCAUCUGUGGCUGUGCUUCAAACUGCUUGUUGGUGUAUUUUAUUGUGCCUCCAAACACCAGGUUCACAGUAUAUGUACGUUAGACUUUUUAACUGCUGGAACGAAAUUUGGAAUUGAACCGACAAAAGUGGUUUAAUGGCUUUUUCAUGCUUUGGUUUGAUUUUAGGGGUAUUACUAACAAAUAGUAGUGCUAAAACCAAGGCUUGCACUAUAGUGGGAAAUGUGAAUGAAAAAAGAUGUGGGAGAACUGUUGUAUGUUGACCAGUUGUGGUCACCGAAGAAUUGGUGCUAAGGAAAAAUUUCUACAAUGGAGAUUUUACUGAUAAGUGUCCUAUAACCGACUGAUGACAUCAUUUUCCAAUCCUGCUGUUUUCUAGUCGCCUGCAAUGGAAACAAAUAGCUUAACAUGAGUACAGUUGAGAUCAUGGUGAACUGCAGAAAAAAUAAUGUGGAAAAAAAGAGUGAACCAUUUGGGAUCCCAAACCAAUAAUUAUGACACUGAACAGCAUGCGUACUUUUUCUUCCCAGGAUCAAGCUGUGUACAUUCAUUUUGAUUCAUCCUGGGACUCAUAAUUGUGUAAGAUGUCAUAGGGGAUACCUACUAGAAACAACUGAGAGAGGAUCCCAAAUGGCAGCAAUGAGGAACACUAUUCCAAAAUGGGUCUUCUUCCAGCUAAAUUUGCCAGCCAGAAGGACUGGAUUAGAAGUCUGUUGUGGCCAUCUGCAGUCCAGACCAACAGAUGAUGGACAUUUUGUAAAGUGACAAUCGACUGUUGAAAUAACUGUAUGUGAGAAAAAGAUCCAUUUCAAUUUGGAAUCUCUGCUUUAAAAGUUUUGGCAGCUGUUUCCAUCAUGAAAUGAAAUGUUAACAUGAAAUAUUAUCACCACAGUUGAUAACAAUACAGAUAGUCACCUUUUAAGAAGUGAGUUAUAAUGUAUGUAUGUUGAUAGUGUUUUCCUGCAAACUGUCACAAAAGUAGUGAAGUCUAUUUGGAAGUGGUAGCUGAACAGUCAUGUUUGUCUUUGAGAGAGUGCUGUUCUAAUGCUCUGGGUGUACAGAGUAGGUAUUUUUUUACCGAUGAUCCAUUGGGUUGCAAGGUGAAUGUUAACUUCCUGUCUUCAUCAGUCCAAUUGUUUGUUCAAAUUUAAAAGAGGCUUUGGACUAAUUAAACAGAUCCUUACUCUUAGAGCUACAACACUGUUGUGUUGCCUCAGAUAUGGUCAUGUGACUAAAGAAUAAACCUGACCUCAUCCACAAACCUUGAUUUUGACUUUACAUCACAAAGUGAUGAGAUAAUACAGAGAGCACAAGAAUCUGAAUUUGGGAGUCACAAUUCAGUUCAGACACUCUCAGUCUUUCUGACUAUAAUACGACUCAGUCAAAUAUGACCAUUUGGCAUCCCUCACUAAGCAUGUGCUCUAGCUGGGGUUACAACAUGGUUCAGGUCGCAAAAAGUCUUGUUCAUCACUCACCAAUCUGCAGCAGAUGUGUCCUCAUCAUUGCUUUGCAGAAUGUAAAUAGCAACAAACACUAAGUAGACACAUUGUGGGCUGUUCAACAGUAGAGUCCCAGAAAGUGAAGACACACAGAGAAUCUGUUGAUACUUAAACCAGGGUAGUCAAAAAAAGCUGUAAACCUUGUGUGCACUUUUGGGCAUUUUUUCUUUUUGUACAUACUAAUAAUAGCAUUUAAGAUGUUUGGGUUUACAUGUCUGGUUAUAGUGCAAUAUAUUUUGUAUGCAAGCAGUUUCAAUAAAUAAAGGUUGAUCUUCCUCUGUUA